GGACUGGUAGCUCAGUUGGAAGAGUGCCACUGGAGGCCAUGGGUUCAAUCCCCAUCUAGUCCA
rnacentral:tRNA from 1 species